rnacentral:tRNA from 1 species
GGGAGUGUAGCUCAGUGGUAGAGCUUCUUCCUAGCAUGUAUGAGGCCCUGGGUUUGAUUCUCAGCACCA